rnacentral:rRNA from 1 species
CGGCGGACGGGUGAGUAAUGCCUAGGAAUCUGCCUGGUAGUGGGGGACAACGUUUCGAAAGGAACGCUAAUACCGCAUACGUCCUACGGGAGAAAGCAGGGGACCUUCGGGCCUUGCGCUAUCAGAUGAGCCUAGGUCGGAUUAGCUAGUUGGUGAGGUAAUGGCUCACCAAGGCGACGAUCCGUAACUGGUCUGAGAGGAUGAUCAGUCACACUGGAACUGAGACACGGUCCAGACUCCUACGGGAGGCAGCAGUGGGGAAUAUUGGACAAUGGGCGAAAGCCUGAUCCAGCCAUGCCGCGUGUGUGAAGAAGGUCUUCGGAUUGUAAAGCACUUUAAGUUGGGAGGAAGGGUUGUAGAUUAAUACUCUGCAAUUUUGACGUUACCGACAGAAUAAGCACCGGCUAACUCUGUGCCAGCAGCCGCGGUAAUACAGAGGGUGCAAGCGUUAAUCGGAAUUACUGGGCGUAAAGCGCGCGUAGGUGGUUUGUUAAGUUGGAUGUGAAAUCCCCGGGCUCAACCUGGGAACUGCAUCCAAAACUGGCAAGCUAGAGUAUGGUAGAGGGUGGUGGAAUUUCCUGUGUAGCGGUGAAAUGCGUAGAUAUAGGAAGGAACACCAGUGGCGAAGGCGACCACCUGGACUGAUACUGACACUGAGGUGCGAAAGCGUGGGGAGCAAACAGGAUUAGAUACCUGGUAGUCCACGCCGUAAACGAUGUCAACUAGCCGUUGGGAGCCUU